rnacentral:rRNA from 1 species
GACGAACGCUGGCGGCGUGCUUAACACAUGCAAGUCGAACGGAAAGGCCCUGCUUUUGUGGGGUGCUCGAGUGGCGAACGGGUGAGUAACACGUGAGUAACCUGCCCUUGACUUUGGGAUAACUUCAGGAAACUGGGGCUAAUACCGGAUAGGAGCUCCUGCUGCAUGGUGGGGGUUGGAAAGUUUCGGCGGUUGGGGAUGGACUCGCGGCUUAUCAGCUUGUUGGUGGGGUAGUGGCUUACCAAGGCUUUGACGGGUAGCCGGCCUGAGAGGGUGACCGGCCACCGUGGGGCCGGGACACCGCCCCGACUCCGCUGGGGGGCAGAGGUGGGGAAUUUUGCACAAUGGGGCGGAGCCCUAUUCCGCCACCCCGCGGGGGGGAUGACGGGCUUUGGGUUGUAAACCCCUUUUCCCCUUGGCGAAGGGGUGAGGGCGGGUAUUGGAGAAGGAGCCCCCGCCAACCUCCUU